UAACUGCGAGUGAAGCGGGAAGAGCUCAAAUUUAAAAUCUGGCGGUGUUUUACCGUCCGAAUUGUAACCUAGAGAAGUGUUGCCCGUACUGGACCAUGUAUAAGUCUCCUGGGAUGGAGCGUCACAGAGGGUGAGAAACCCGUAUUUGACAUGGACUACCAGUGCAUUGUGGUAUGCUCUCAAAGAGUUGAGUUGUUUGGGAAUGCAGCUCUAAAUGGGUGGUAAAUUCCAUCUAAAGCUAAAUAUUGGCGAGAGACCGAUAGCGAACAAGUACCGUGAGGGAAAGAUGAAAAGAACUUUGGAAAGAGAGUUAAACAGUAUGUGAAAUUGUUGAAAGGGAAACGUUUGAAGUCAGUGAUUAUUGUUCAGGGAUCAAGUCAACAAGAAUUGUUGGGUGUAUUUCCUGUUCAAUAGGCCAACAUGAGUUUUGAGUGCUGGAGAAAGGCAUAGGGAAAGUGGCACCUUUUGGGUGUGUUAUAGCCCUAAGUCAUAUGCAGCGGUUAGGACUGAGGAGGACAGCGCGCCGCAAGGCCGGGUUUCGACCACGUUCGCGCUUAGGAUGUUGGCAUAAUGGCUUUAAACGACCCGUC
rnacentral:rRNA from 1 species